GGACCAAUUACUCAGGUGAUUAUAGCGCACCCCUGUAUAAAGGAGAGGUCCCUGAAUCAAGUCCUGAAUGGCCC
rnacentral:tRNA from 1 species